rnacentral:hammerhead_ribozyme from 1 species
AUCCAGCUGACGAGUCUUAAAUAGGACGAAACGCGCGUUCUGGAU